rnacentral:rRNA from 1 species
AAACGACUCUCGACAACGGAUAUCUCGGCUCUCGCAUCGAUGAAGAACGUAGCGAAAUGCGAUACUUGGUGUGAAUUGCAGAAUCCCGUGAACCAUCGAGUCUUUGAACGCAAGUUGCGCCCUAAGCCUUUCGGCCGAGGGCACGUCUGCCUGGGUGUCAC